GGGAGGUAGUGACAAUAAAUAACAAUACGGGGCUCUUUAGGGUUUCGUAAUUGGAAUGAGUACAAUUUAAAUCCCUUAACGAGGAACAAUUGGAGGGCAAGUCUGGUGCCAGCAGCCGCGGUAAUUCCAGCUCCAAUAGCGUAUAUUAAAGUUGUUGCAGUUAAAAAGCUCGUAGUUGAAUUUCGGGAUUGGCGUGUCGGUCGUGCCUUAAGGGGUAUGAACUGGCGUCGUCGAUUUCUCACCUUCUGGAGAAACUCGAUGCCCUUAAUUGGGUGUCGUGCGGAACCAGGACCUUUACCUUGAAAAAUUAGAGUGUUUAAAGCAGGCAUUUUUGCUCGAAUACAUUAGCAUGGAAUAAUAAAAUAGGACGGUUGGUUCUAUUUUGUUGGUUUCUAGGAUCACCGUAAUGAUUAAUAGGGAUAGUUGGG
rnacentral:rRNA from 1 species